rnacentral:rRNA from 2 species
GUGAGUGGCGGACGGGUGAGUAACACGUGGGUAACUUGCCCUAAAGUGGGGGAUAACAUUUGGAAACAGAUGCUAAUACCGCAUAAAACCUAGCACCGCAUGGUGCAAGGUUGAAAGAUGGUUUCGGCUAUCACUUUAGGAUGGACCCGCGGUGCAUUAGUUAGUUGGUGAGGUAAAGGCUCACCAAGACCGUGAUGCAUAGCCGACCUGAGAGGGUAAUCGGCCACACUGGGACUGAGACACGGCCCAGACUCCUACGGGAGGCAGCAGUAGGGAAUCUUCCACAAUGGACGAAAGUCUGAUGGAGCAACGCCGCGUGAGUGAAGAAGGUUUUCGGAUCGUAAAACUCUGUUGUUGGAGAAGAACGUAUUUGAUAGUAACUGAUCAGGUAGUGACGGUAUCCAACCAGAAAGCCACGGCUAACUACGUGCCAGCAGCCGCGGUAAUACGUAGGUGGCAAGCGUUGUCCGGAUUUAUUGGGCGUAAAGCGAGCGCAGGCGGUUUCUUAAGUCUGAUGUGAAAGCCUUCGGCUCAACCGAAGAAGUGCAUCGGAAACUGGGAAACUUGAGUGCAGAAGAGGACAGUGGAACUCCAUGUGUAGCGGUGAAAUGCGUAGAUAUAUGGAAGAACACCAGUGGCGAAGGCGGCUGUCUGGUCUGUAACUGACGCUGAGGCUCGAAAGCAUGGGUAGCAAACAGGAUUAGAUACCCUGGUAGUCCAUGCCGUAAACGAUGAGUGCUAGGUGUUGGAGGGUUUCCGCCCUUCAGUGCCGCAGCUAACGCAUUAAGCACUCCGCCUGGGGAGUACGACCGCAAGGUUGAAACUCAAAGGAAUUGACGGGGGCCCGCACAAGCGGUGGAGCAUGUGGUUUAAUUCGAAGCAACGCGAAGAACCUUACCAGGUCUUGACAUCCUUUGACCACUCUAGAGAUAGAGCUUUCCCUUCGGGGACAAAGUGACAGGUGGUGCAUGGUUGUCGUCAGCUCGUGUCGUGAGAUGUUGGGUUAAGUCCCGCAACGAGCGCAACCCUUAUUACUAGUUGCCAGCAUUUAGUUGGGCACUCUAGUGAGACUGCCGGUGACAAACCGGAGGAAGGUGGGGACGACGUCAAAUCAUCAUGCCCCUUAUGACCUGGGCUACACACGUGCUACAAUGGAUGGUACAACGAGUCGCGAGACCGCGAGGUUUAGCUAAUCUCUUAAAACCAUUCUCAGUUCGGAUUGUAGGCUGCAACUCGCCUACAUGAAGCCGGAAUCGCUAGUAAUCGCGGAUCAGCAUGCCGCGGUGAAUACGUUCCCGGGCCUUGUACACACCGCCCGUCACACCAU